GUGAUUCUGAGGCCUAGAGUAGUAUCUUUCUAUGGUCUGUUGGCCAUGUCAGAACUUUAGAAAUGUCAUGGUCAAUUCAUUAGAAGGAAACAACU
ensembl:snoRNA